GAAAUAUUCUAUAUUAAGCUGCUAACUUAAUUUUUAGUGAAUUUAUCAUUAAUAUUUCU
rnacentral:tRNA from 1 species